UACAUGUGGGGCAAGCGUUGUUCGGAAUUACUGGGCGUAAAGGGCGCGUAGGUGGCUUGUUAAGUCAGGGGUGAAAGUUUUCGGCUCAACCGGAAAAUGGCCUUUGAUACUGGCGAGCUCGAGUGCGUGAGGGGUAACCGGAACGAGCAGUGUAGCGGUGAAAUGCGUAGAUAUUGCUCGGAAGGCCAACGGCGAAGGCAGGUUACUGGUGCGCAACUGACACUGAGGCACGAAAGCGUGGGGAGCAAACAGG
rnacentral:rRNA from 1 species